AGAACGAACGCUGGCGGCAUGCCUAAUACAUGCAAGUCGAACGAACACUUCGGUGCUAGUGGCGCACGGGUGCGUAACGCGUGGGAAUCUGCCCUUGGGUUCGGAAUAACAGUUGGAAACGACUGCUAAUACCGGAUGAUAUCGAAAGAUCAAAGAUUUAUCGCCCAGGGAUGAGCCCGCGUAGGAUUAGCUAGUUGGUGAGGUAAAGGCUCACCAAGGCGACGAUCCUUAGCUGGUCUGAGAGGAUGAUCAGCCACACGUGGACUGACGA
rnacentral:rRNA from 1 species